rnacentral:lncRNA from 1 species
AUGAUUUUUCCGGUGAUACGCCGUCGUGGACACGACUGUUCGUCGGGUCGUUGGAUUCAUACUCGUUUCCUUCGUCGCCUUCUCAGGCUCGGCUUAGAGUCCACGAGAAUGUGAAACGCUAUGCCCGCAAUUAUAUCUCUCUCUUCCUCCUCUUCUUCGUUUGCUCUCUGUAUGCUCUCUGUCUCUAUACACACACACAUACAAACAUACAUACACAUUAUGUAUGUAUGUAUGUAUGUAUAUUUGUGUGUCUCGACUUUUUAAGCAUGUAUGUGGACAUUGACAAGUAUAUAUCAUCGAUUAUGAUUUGUACUAUUAAUAAUGGUUAAAAUUUGUGCUUGUGCGAUAAGUUGAAUAUUGGAUUUGUUUUAAGCCUCUCUCUUCCUCCUCUUCUUCGCUUGCUCUCUGUAUGCUCUCUCUCUAUGCACACACACAUACACUCAUACAUACACAUUAUGUCUGUAUAUUUGUGUGUCUUGACUUUUUAAGCAUGUAUGAGGACAUUGACAAGUAUAUGUUAUCUAUUGUAAUUUGUACUAUUAAUAAUGGUUAAAAUUUGUGCUUGUGCUGAAUAUUGGAUUUGUUUUAAGCAGUACACCUGAAACCGGUCCGAAUGGAGUUGAAGGAAUAUAGAGAAUUCAUGUAACUCUGCAACUAGAUUAGAAUUGAGUUGUUGGUUGAUUGAUUGAUCGACUUUGUAUGAGAAGUUUGAGGUUGUUAGGCUCUGAGAGCUAAAUGAGGCUCACUCGGAGGAUAGUGGAUUUAGAUAGUUCUUUUGGAUAAGGAUAUGGAUAGUUCUUAAUUUAAGUUAUAAAGCACUCUACGUAAUUUCUCUCUUCCUCAAGAAUAUAUCAUUUUCAUGACAUAAAGAACAUGUAUACGGUCUUUGGUGUAUAUUUAUAUGUGCCAAUUGAAAUUUGAAAGCUGAAGCAAUUGUAAUCUAAAAGCUAGGGUUUUACAUAGGACAAAGUUUCAGUUAUUUGGUGAUAUGUUCAAGCCCUUUAGAUUUCAGAGUACUUGUCAAACAAAAAAGAUGUUAAGGGCUUGGAGAUUUGAAGAUAGUACUUGGUCCAAACAUUGUGGUUAGACCUGCAAUGUUGUAUGGGGCGGAGUGCUGGCCAGUGAAGAACUCUCAUGUUNNN